rnacentral:rRNA from 1 species
AACGAACGCUGGCGGCAGGCCUAACACAUGCAAGUCGAGCGAGGACUUCGGUCCUAGCGGCGGACGGGUGAGUAACGCGUGGGAACGUGCCCUUUGGUACGGAAUAGCCCCGGGAAACUGGGAGUAAUACCGUAUGGUGUCUUCGGACUAAAGAUUUAUCGCCAAAGGAUCGGCCCGCGUUGGAUUAGGUAGUUGGUGGGGUAAUGGCCUACCAAGCCGACGAUCCAUAGCUGGUUUGAGAGGAUGAUCAGCCACACUGGGACUGAGACACGGCCCAGACUCCUACGGGAGGCAGCAGUGGGGAAUCUUAGACAAUGGGGGCAACCCUGAUCUAGCCAUGCCGCGUGAGUGAUGAAGGCCCUAGGGUUGUAAAGCUCUUUCAGCUGGGAAGAUAAUGACGGUACCAGCAGAAGAAGCCCGGCUAACUCCGUGCCAGCAGCCGCGGCAAUGUCAGUGACU